ensembl:lincRNA
CCAUUUACAUUCAAAGUAUUUUUUUUUUUAGAUUUUAUCCAUUUAUUUGACAGACAGAGACAGCACAAGCAGGCAGAGGGAGAGAGAGCAGCAGCCUCCCCACCAAGUAAGGAGCCCAACAUGGGACUCAAUCCCAGGACCCCAGGAUCACUACCUGAGCUAAAGGCAGCCGCUCAACCAACUGAGCCACCCAGGCGUCCCUCAAAAGAGAGAGAGAGAGAAUACAAGCAGGGGUCAAGCAGAGGGAAAAGGAGAGAAUCUCAAGCAGACCCCACACUGAGCACGGAGCCGAACAUGGAGCUUGAUCGCAUGACCCCAAGAUUAUGACCUGAGCCAAAACGAAGAGUUAGACAUUCAACCAAAUGAGCCACCCAGGCAUGUUACCAUGAAGUAUAUUUUUAAUAUUAUUUAAUAUGUUCUUAAUCUCUGAUUGGUUCUUUUUUAUCUCUAUGUUAAAGUUUCACCAAUGUCUUCCACUCUGUUCUCUAGCCCAGCAAGUAUCUCUAUGAUCAUUACUUUAAGUUUUCUGUCUAGCAUAUCACUUAUAUCUGUUCACUCUUAGUCUUUUGCUGUGGUUUGGGUCUGUUCUUUCAUUUGGAAGAUAUUUCUCAUCUCCUUAUUUUGUCUGAAUUUCUGUGUGUAUAUGUGUUCUAAGAAAAUCAGCUACCUGUCUUACUCUUAACAAUAAUAGCCUUAGAAAGGAGAGAUCCUUUAGUGCUCUGCAGUGCAGUAUCGCCUGUUCCCCAGGGCCUGGUACUUCAGUCAGUGUCUCCUAUAUACAUUGUGUGUGCUCUUCUGUUGAGUCUCAGCCUUUUUUUCCCUUCAAUCCAGUUAUCCACAGAGGCUCUCUUUACCUACUGUGUGCAAUGUUUGGUGCCCAGGAGGGGUGGGGCACAUUUUAACAAGGUGUUUGAAGGCUUGCUUGCAAAAUGAGACCCACUACCACUGCUACCAGAACUGAGGCUCGCAAAAGCUAUGGGUCAGGAGACAUGGUACUGCUGAGGUUUGUACUGGUCCUCUGGGAGAGGGUUCCUGCAGUGCAGGUACUCAUGUGAGUGACUGAGAAGGGUGGGUCAAUGGAAGCACAGGGUGGGGGGACUUGUGGUAAGCAAGUUAGGUAAGGAGUUUUGGCUUUGUACUAGUUCCUGCAAGUGGCCUUUGUUUAUGCUGGGGAGUGGGGGGAGCAAAUGAUACCUGCCAACUCCUUUGUUCCUGGAGGGGCCUCCCUGUGAUCCCUGUGUCUCCCUGACUCAUGCUCUGAGAUGAGCAAAUCACUCUCUGUUCUGUCUGUCCCCAGCAUUUUUCAAACUGCUGGUUCUGCAAGUACAAUGGCACAGGCCGUUGUACUGUCUCUUUAAGGGCAGGGUCUCCACGUCCUAAAGUCAUUGGGCUCUCCCAGAGCCAAAGCCUCCAAUAUUUAAAAUUCUAGACUUUAAGUUCUAUUGGUUUUAGGAACUCAUGAAAUUCAGGCCCUGUCACUUCCAAAGGCAAAUAUUACAGAGAUUUGUCUUCCCCUGUUCCUGGGCUCCCUGAUGUGAAAAUCUGUUUUCUGCCCAUAUCUGUACCACCAACUUCCUCCCUACCUUGGAUGGUCCCAGUCCCAUUUUGCUCCCAGACCACACCUUCACACUUCCUAUGGUCUUUGAUGUGGCCUUUCCCCACCUUUAGUUGUGGAGUUUGUUCUUCCAGUCUUUGAGUAAUUUCCCAGGUUAUUUAUACUGAUAUGGGUGUUAUCUAGCUGUAUCCAUGGGACAAGGUGAGCUUAGGGCCCUCCUACUCGGCCAUCUCUCUCCUACUAUUCUUAUAUUUAUGUUAUUUGUUUCCUUUUAACAUGUUCAAUUUAGAAUAAUUGUUAAAUCAAAUAACUAUUAAAAUGUGUUUAAAUAAGGGGUGUUGUUUCUUAUUUCCUGACUGUACAUGACACACAUAUACUUUUUUAUUCUAAUCACUUUUACAUAAAGUUUUCUCUUUUCUUUGGUUUCUGCAGUUUCACUAUGAUAUUCCUAGCUGUGGUUUCCUUGUAUUUAUUCAGCUUUGGGUUUGCAUCUUUUCUUGAUUCUGUGACUUUAAUUUCCAUUACUUAGAGAAAAUUCUAGACCUUUUUAUCCCGAAGUGUUGCUUUUGUUCAAUUCGUUCUUCCUUUUUAUAUUAUAACUCCUGUUUCAUAUCUGUUGGCUGUUUUCACUAAACAGUGUGGCUUUUUUCAGUUUUUUCUCCUCUUCAUUUAUCUAUAUAUAUUCAACUUUGACUUAACU